AGAAUCAACGCUGGCGGCGUGCCUAACACAUGCAAGUCGAACGAGAAAGUGGAGCAAUCCAUGAGUAAAGUGGCGCACGGGUGAGUAACACGUGACUAACCUACCCUUGAGUGGGGAUAACCUAGGGAAACCUGGGCUAAUACCGCAUAAUACCUUCGGGUCAAAGGAGCAAUUCGCUUAAGGAGGGGUCGCGGCCGAUUAGUUAGUUGGCGGGGUAAUGGCCCACCAAGACUAUGAUCGGUAUCCGGCCUGAGAGGGCGCACGGACACACUGGAACUGAAACACGGUCCAGACUCCUACGGGAGGCAGCAGUGGGAAUUUUGCGCAAUGGGGAACCCUGACGCAGCAACGCCGCGUGGAGGAUGAAGUCCCUUGGGACGUAAACUCCUUUCGAUCGGGACGAUUAUGACGGUACCGAGAGAAGAACGCCCGGCUAACUUCGUGCCAGCAGCCGC
rnacentral:rRNA from 1 species